rnacentral:rRNA from 1 species
AGAGUUUGAUCAUGGCUCAGAUUGAACGCUGGCGGCAGGCCUAACACAUGCAAGUCGAGCGGUAGCACAGAGAGCUUGCUCUCGGGUGACGAGCGGCGGACGGGUGAGUAAUGUCUGGGAAACUGCCUGAUGGAGGGGGAUAACUACUGGAAACGGUAGCUAAUACCGCAUAACGUCGCAAGACCAAAGUGGGGGACCUUCGGGCCUCAUGCCAUCAGAUGUGCCCAGAUGGGAUUAGCUAGUAGGUGGGGUAACGGCUCACCUAGGCGACGAUCCCUAGCUGGUCUGAGAGGAUGACCAGCCACACUGGAACUGAGACACGGUCCAGACUCCUACGGGAGGCAGCAGUGGGGAAUAUUGCACAAUGGGCGCAAGCCUGAUGCAGCCAUGCCGCGUGUAUGAAGAAGGCCUUCGGGUUGUAAAGUACUUUCAGCGGGGAGGAAGGCGAUAAGGUUAAUAACCUUGUCGAUUGACGUUACCCGCAGAAGAAGCACCGGCUAACUCCGUGCCAGCAGCCGCGGUAAUACGGAGGGUGCAAGCGUUAAUCGGAAUUACUGGGCGUAAAGCGCACGCAGGCGGUCUGUCAAGUCGGAUGUGAAUCACUUCACACAAACAGCCGGUUCGGUUGAAGAGAAAAAUCCUGAAAAACGGGUUGACUCUGAAAGAGGAAAGCGUAAUAUACGCCACCUCGCGACAGAGCGCUAAAGCGCGUCGCAACUGCUCUUUAACAAUUUAUCAGACAAUCUGUGUGGGCACUCAAAGUGACAUGGAUUCUUAAUGUCUUCGGACAAUAAAUGAAUACCAAGUCUCAAGAGUGAACACGUAAUUCAUUACGAAGUUUAAUUCUUUGAGCAUCAAACUUAA